rnacentral:rRNA from 1 species
GCCUACGGGAGGCAGCAGUAGGGAAUCUUCCACAAUGGACGAAAGUCUGAUGGAGCAACGCCGCGUGAGUGAAGAAGGGUUUCGGCUCGUAAAGCUCUGUUGGUAGUGAAGAAAGAUAGAGGUAGUAACCGGCCUUUAUUUGACGGUAAUUACUUAGAAAGUCACGGCCAACUACGUGCCAGCAGCCACGGUAAUACGUAGGUGGCAAGCGUUGUCUAGAUUUAUUGGGCGGAAAGCGAGCGCAGGCGGUACAAAAAG